rnacentral:rRNA from 1 species
AACGUAGGUGGCGAGCGUUAUCCGGAUUCAUUGGGCGUAAAGAGCUUGUAGGCGGUGUGUCACGUCGGCCGUGAAAACCUGCAGCUUAACUGUGGGCGUGCGGUCGAUACGGGCAUCACUGGAGUUCGGCAGGGGAGACUGGAAUUCCUGGUGUAGCGGUGAAAUGCGCAGAUAUCAGGAGGAACACCGGUGGCGAAGGCGGGUCUCUGGGCCGAUACUGACGCUGAGGAGCGAAAGCGUGGGGAGCGAACAGG